AUGAGGGACCCACUCCCAGUCUGGUUUUGGGGUCCCACUCCCAGCGCGGUUUUGGGACCCCACUCCCAGCCUGGUUUUAGGAUGAGGAACCCACUCCCAACACGGUUUUGGGGUCCCACUCCCAGCCCGGUUUCAGGGUCCCACUCCCAGCCUGGUUUUAGGAUGAGGGACCCACUCCCAACACAGUUUUGGGAUCCCACUCCCAGCCUGGUUUUGGGGUCCCAUCCCAGCCCGGUUUUGGGAUCCCACUCCCAGGCUGGUUUUGGGAUUCCAUCCCUGGCCCAGUUUUGGGAUCCCACUCCCAGCCCAGUUUCGGGGUCCCACCCCGGCCCGGUUUUGGGAUCCCACCCCCGGCCUGGUUUUGAGGUCCCACUCCCAGCCUGGUUUUGGGGUGGGGGUCCCACUCCCAGCCUGGUUUUGGGGUCCCACUCCCAGCUGGCUUUUGGGGUCCCAACCCACAGCCCAGUUUUGGGAUGAGGGACCCACUCCCAGCCUGGUUUUGAGGUCCCAUCCCAGCCCGGUUUUGGGAUCCCAUCCCGGCCCAGUUUUGGGGUCCCGCCCCAGCCCGGUUUCGGGGUCCCAUCCCAGCCCGGUUUCGGGGUCCCAGCCCGGUUUUGGGGGUCCCAGCCCGGUUUGGGGGUCCCGUACCUGCUCGUUGACCGUCAGCAGGGCCUCCUGGGGCUGCCCCGGGCACGGCUCCAUGGUGGCCUGGCACAGGUGGGGUGUCACACCUGCCACAUGCUGCCAGAGGGGACAAGGAGGGGCUGUCACCAGCAGGGCUGGGGUCCUCUCACCCCCCUCAGCCCCUCUGAAACCCCAAAACCAGGGAUGGGCAGGUGA
rnacentral:lncRNA from 1 species